rnacentral:misc_RNA from 1 species
UUCCUUUCUUCUUUAGCAAACUUACUACAUAUCUUGAUAUUUUCCAAAUUUCUUAAGGUCUAUCAGGGACAAUGGAACAUCUGGAGAAGCAUCUACCUCUUUCUUGAUAAGCUUUAGCUACCCAAAUUAAUACUAAAAUCAUCAUAAAGACUGAAAGAGAGAACAUCGAUGACCAUAACAUUCGAAUCGAAGCUUUAAAUGACUUGCACUGGUGCUUAACAACAUCAGAGAAAGCAGUCUUGACAACAAUGCAUCUUGCCAAGCUCUCUAAAUCUGGAUAUAUACUUAACAUAUUCUGAACAGAACGACUGUAAGCCAAAGCCAUGUUAGAAAUGCUCUCAGGAAUAAUCUUUCCUUCUCUUGUGCAUGUUUCAGGGGAAUUAUCUUGGUAACAUGUGAGUCUUGAAAGGAUCUACAGAUGAUUUUUCACACAAAAGGUAAGCUAAUUAGGGAAAUUUUAACAAAUCUUUUAUGUAAUAGUAUCACUGAACAAAUGCUACUUACAUAACAAAUUUAUCCCAUUCAAUGUGACAUCAUGUACUCAUCCAUGAAUUUUUGUACCAUGUCAGGGAAGAUUACCAAAGCAUUACAAAAAUGGCAGAACAUGUAGUACUAUAAAUAGUUAAUAACCAAUUCAAGGAUUCUGUAUUUCAGACCAUUACCCAUAUAUACUGAAAUGCAACUUACAUUUGGAAUAUCCUGGAUUGAAAUGCUAUCCUUUGAGCAGCUCUCAGGGAUGUAUGUAUAAUUUGGUGGUCCUGAGAAAGGGUCACAUAUCUUCUUAACUCCUACUAAAUCCAUAAUGUUUCCCUCUGACGGAAGCAACACAUAUAAUUCUUCCAUUUUCCAGUUCAACUGGGAAAAAAAAGGGUAUUGCAAUUGGAGAAAAGAUCAAAGUAUAUAUAAGAGCUCUCACACUUUCAUCUAGAUAAUUGAUAAAUCAAUUUAGUACCUUAGAAACAAAAUUAUGGAUGGUGCUGCCAAUUUCUAUCAGGAGCUGAUCUGAAGAUGAUGAAUCCAUGCAAGGUAUCAUGGAGCUCAGACUACAAUUCUGGGGGUCUUGUUCGAAAUCCUGAAAUGCUGUACAAGUAUCGUACACAAAACUGCUUGGCAAAAUGAUUAUAUACAAUUUAAUUAUAUUGAAGAAGAUAAUCAAACAAGAAAAAUGAAAUGGUAAUCAAGAGUAAAGUAAAAUUAAAGAGUAUUAAUUGAUUAAUAUACUUACGUUUGGAGGAAGAAAUCGAAGCCUGUCAAAGCCCAGCAUAUAGUUGUUAAGAUCCAGCAGACAAAAAUUAUUCUGGAAUAAAAGUAGAAAAAAUAAGAGAGGGAGGAAAAGUCUGUAAUGUAAGAUAUAAGUUAUGUAAUUAAUGAGAUUAAGCUUGAAAAUUACGUGAUAAAUCCAGGGUGCCAAUGCAACAGAAGCAGAACUGAGCCAAAGCACCAAUCCAUUAGUCUAACCAAGUUAAUUAGUUUUAGUUGAAUGUUUGUCAGAAUCCACCAGAUGAUUAAUAAAGAGCACUAAACUUCAAAACAAGAGAUAAAACUUGGGAUAUAAAAUUUAAGCCAAAAAACAUGGUAUAAAAUUUACCUAAGGAAGUCAACAAGAGCACCAAGUUGAUGGUCACAACCACAAGAUGCAAUAUGUGCGAAGUAUGAAUUGCGAGAUCAAUUGCACGGCCACUCUUUUGAACAAUAUCUCGAAUAGCUUGUGCUUCCCUUGCAAGAAGAUGGGUUAUGGUAUAAAAGCGCACAGAGGUAGCUGGAUCAUAUGGGCGUAAAAGAUGCUGCAUUUCUAUCAUUGCUAUAAUUACUUUGUGAAUCUUUCGGUGGGUGUCUUUGCCUACCUCCACAAUCGUCCGCAUAAAUUUAUUGGUUCUGUAGAAGGCGCUCUCAUUGGCAGCCAGGACCAGACUAGUGGCAAUUAUGGCCAAUAAUGUGAAGAGGAUGAUGAUCAAGAACAUCAACAAAUAGUGAUGAUUCAAAUAGUCUUUAACGUGGGAAGAGUCGCUUCUCCUCAAAAUUUUCCAGGUGAAAACAAUUCCAAAUCCCAACCCACAUAACAGCCACACACCAGCAAUUGCAUAAGAAUGCACUCCUGUAAAUACCGCAGAAGCCAAGUAAUGUUUGUCAGUAACAUUAUAGCCUCCAUUAUAAUUCUUGAAGCCACGCAGAGGAUCAGGUCUCUUGAAGCUUUGAUCUUGAUCAGGGGACCCAAAAACCAUCACCUUAUUAGGUGAAAACACAGAGGUUAAGAGCAAGAAGAACACAUAUGGAGCCAAUAUAGACAUGACAGAUCAAGCUGGUAGCUAGCUAGCUAGCUAGCUUUGUUCCUUGGCUAAAAAUAAUGAAAAGGGUUUGGUUGAUAUUGCCUUGAAAAUUAUCAAAUGAUAAACUUUUGGGAAAGUGAUGAAAAGAUUGUUGGUAUGACUUACUGAGUAAGGUAGGAAUAGCUUGAGGCUUCGGAGAUUUUUUUUUUUUUUUAAAUCUGAGAAAAAGCAAAAAAUUUAGAGAGAAUGAGACUCACGGGGCGAAAUUUCUGGUAACCCGUAACUGGAAG